rnacentral:rRNA from 1 species
GUAAAAGUCGUAACAAGGUUUCCGUAGGUGAACCUGCGGAAGGAUCAUUACAGAGAACAUGCCCCCUAGGGUAUAUCUCCCACCCCGUGUUUACAAUCUUCUGUUGCUUUGGCGGGCCCGUCUCAUGACCGCCGGCGCCAGCUGGUCCGCGCCCGCCAGAGAACCCCAAACUCUGUGUUUUAUGUCGUCUGAGUAUUACCAAAUAGUUAAAACUUUCAACAACGGAUCUCUUGGUUCUGGCAUCGAUGAAGAACGCAGCGAAAUGCGAUAAGUAAUGUGAAUUGCAGAAUUCAGUGAAUCAUCGAAUCUUUGAACGCACAUUGCACCCUCUGGUAUCCCAGGGGGUAUGCCUGUUCGAGCGUCAUUGCAACCCUCAAGCGCAGCUUGGUAUUGGGCGUCACUGGUGUGGUGCGCCUCAAAAGUAUUGGCGGCGAGCCUUCAGCUUCUAGCGUAGUAAUUUCUCGCUUCGGAGCCUGGGUGUUUGGCCGCUGGAAUCUUACAUCACAAAAGGUUGACCUCGGAUCGGGUAGGGAUACCCGCUGAACUUA